GGAUAGCUCAGUUGGUUUGAGCGUGGUGAUGACAACGCCAAGGUUGCAGGUUCGAACCCCCGCAAGGGACA